rnacentral:rRNA from 1 species
CCUACGGGAGGCAGCAGUGAGGAAUAUUGGUCAAUGGACGAGAGUCUGAACCAGCCAAGUAGCGUGAAGGAUGACUGCCCUAUGGGUUGUAAACUUCUUUUAUAUGGGAAUAAAAUGUUCCACGUGUGGGAUUUUGUAUGUACCAUAUGAAUAAGGAUCGGCUAACUCCGUGCCAGCAGCCGCGGUAAUACGAAGGAUCCGAGCGUUAUCCGGAUUUAUUGGGUUUAAAGGGAGCGUAGGUGGAUUGUUAAGUCAGUUGUGAAAGUUUGCGGCUCAACCGUAAAAUUGCAGUUGAAACUGGCAGUCUUGAGUACAGUAGAGGUGGGCGGAAUUCGUGGUGUAGCGGUGAAAUGCUUAGAUAUCACGAAGAACUCCGAUUGCGAAGGCAGUUCACUGGACUGCAACUGACACUGAGGCUCGAAAGUGUGGGUAUCAAACAGGAUUAGAUACCCGAGUAGUC